AGCGGAAGGGACAGGGAAUGAAUGGUGAGGGAUAACAAAGAGUCAGGUGCAGCGCUGCUGGCUCUGCCUCCUCAUACGCUAGCUUGUGGGUUUCAUUUUUAUUUCGAAGCACCCCCUGGCAAUUCAGUGAGAACACAAAAAAAAAUAAAAGAGAAAGCUGUGGAAGCCAAAGGCAGGUUUCUAACUGCAGCUGCGGGCUUUGAAGGAAGCGUGUGCAUUGUAUGGGGAAGAGCCCGUCCCUGUAGUGAUGGAGAAGAACGUAGCAUCCAGUUGUGUGGGACAAGCAGCACGUACACAGCUAACGCCAGACUUUUUGCUUUUCGCGCUCCAAAAUAGUCCGCUGUGAAGAGCCUGGCUUAGAAAGUAUUUAAUGGUCAGUGGAUAAAAAUGAGGAAGAGGAGGGUGUGGCUGCCACUUAGAGGAUCUGACCCUGCAAACAGGCACCAGCUUGCGGAGAUGCGGUCCUUCAUCGUGAGAAAAUGAAGCUUUCUCUUAGCCGCCCAUUGUUACCGCCGGGCGCUGGCAGCCGGGGGCAGUUGUGGCAGGGGAGCGGCGGCGGAGAAGCCGGCGCCGGUUGCUAGGAGACUGCAGAGCUGCAAGGUGAACACCACCAGCACCACAUCGGCGGCUCCCCGAGGCUGGCGUUCCACCUUGCGCAGGUUGUUCAGCCUGGUUGUAGUCUCCUUGUAAGGAGUGGGACAUUUCCAGUAGAAGAAUUGCAGUUCAGUGCAGGAAAAGCUCUUCCUCAUUUGAACCACCACUGAAAAUUCAGAAUGAAAGCAGCUAAAUAGAAGUUUUCUGUCAAAUUGUCUGCAGGAUUCCCAGAAGAUUCUUCUGAAACUUGAGCACAUCUGUCUUGGGAUGCCCCUAGAAGGAAGAAGCAGUCACCUGGCAAAAUGACCAUGAAGCAUAAAAAGAGAAGAGGUUUGAGACCAUCCUGCAAGUUGUUCAGAGUCUGUUUACCAGCUACCAUGUCAAAGCAACCAAGGGAGACUUAGAAGUGGCAUGACUGAAAACAAAGAAAUAUUUUGAAAGAACAGCUUCCUGGGGAAUCAAGUUAGAAAGAAGUGAAGCUUGGUCAUCCCUGCAGAAGAAAGGACAAGGUCCCCCUGUCAGGUAUGCUGAAAGAGGUGGCAGAUCACUUCAGUUACCCUGAAAUAUGACCUUCAGCCUUUGAGGUGAGAUCUGCUUUCUAGUGCAACAGCACCUGAGUUUCUCUGUGUGUGGCUGCUGUGGCUUUCGUUUCAUGUUUUCUUCAGUUUCUCUCUGUGUGGCUGCUGUAGCUGUCAUUUGUUGGGGUUUAUUUUAGUUAGCUGUUGAAAAGAAAAGCAACAUAUAUGUCAGAUGAUUAUGGUAAGAGUAUUUGCUUUGAGGAAAAACUUCUUGAGUGAGAGAGUGGUGAGGGGUUGGAACAGGCUGCCCGGGUUGGUGGUGGAGUCGCCUUCCAUGGAGGUGUUCAAGAAGCUGUAGAUGUGGUGCUUCAGGCAAUGGGUUAGUGGUUGUGGUAGUUGGGUUCUGGUGGGACUUGAUGAUCUUAGAGGUCUUUUCCAGCCUUCAUGAUUUUAUGGUUCUAUAAAGCAGUAUUUAUGUUGCACUGUGGACUGGUAUCUCAGUUAUUUCCACUCGCUCCUUGAAUGAGAAGUUUGUGGUCUGUAAUACCAGAUGGUGGGGAAUAAGAGCCUUCUCCAAGACUAGCCUAGUGUGAGGCUGGAGCAAGUUUCACUCUAGCAUUUUGUUUAAGUGGGCUGUGAUGCUUCCUCACCAUCUUGAGAUCUUCUUUUCAGUCUUCUGGAUUUACUCAUGGGAGAUUCAGUCAGAGAAAUUCAUCUCUUCCCAUUAGGAUACCAGAUUUCUGCUAGAAGCACCUGAAAUGACUUGUCUCAGUCAGCAUCCACUCUCCAAGUCGUAGCUAUGCCUUCUUGACUUGUCAAGAGUAGCUGGCUAACAUGCAGUCCUGUCAGGGCUGGAAGUGCAGGAGUGCAUCCAUUAAACAUGGAUGCUGUGUCCCCUCCCCCCUCCUGUACCUUGUCACUGACACAACUUCACAAGUUGCAGAUCUGCUGAACAUGAAA